rnacentral:rRNA from 1 species
AACGAUGANGCCUUUCGGGGUGGAUUAGUGGCGAACGGGUGAGUAACACGUGGGCAAUCUGCCCUUCACUCUGGGACAAGCCCUGGAAACGGGGUCUAAUACCGGAUAAUACUCUGUUCCGCAUGGGACGGGGUUGAAAGCUCCGGCGGUGAAGGAUGAGCCCGCGGCCUAUCAGCUUGUUGGUGGGGUGAUGGCCCACCAAGGCGACGACGGGUAGCCGGCCUGAGAGGGCGACCGGCCACACUGGGACUGAGACACGGCCCAGACUCCUACGGGAGGCAGCAGUGGGGAAUAUUGCACAAUGGGCGAAAGCCUGAUGCAGCGACGCCGCGUGAGGGAUGACGGCCUUCGGGUUGUAAACCUCUUUC